UGGGGAAUUUUGGACAAUGGGCGAAAGCCUGAUCCAGCAAUGCCGCGUGUGUGAAGAAGGCCUUCGGGUUGUAAAGCACUUUUGUCCGGAAAGAAAUCCUUGGCUCUAAUACAGUCGGGGGAUGACGGUACCGGAAGAAUAAGCACCGGCUAACUACGUGCCAGCAGCCGCGGUAAUACGUAGGGUGCAAGCGUUAAUCGGAAUUACUGGGCGUAAAGCGUGCGCAGGCGGUUUGCUAAGACCGAUGUGAAAUCCCCGGGCUCAACCUGGGAACUGCAUUGGUGACUGGCAGGCUAGAGUAUGGCAGAGGGGGUAGAAUUCCACGUGUAGCAGUGAAAUGCGUAGAGAUGUGGAGGAAUACCGAUGGCGAAGGCAGCCCCCUGGGCCAAUACUGACGCUCAUGCACGAAAGCGUGGGGAGCAAACAGGAUUAGAUACCCUGGUAGUCCACGCCCUAAACGAUGUCAACUAGUUGUUGGGGAUUCAUUCCUUAGUAACGUAGCUAACGCGUGAAGUUGACCGCCUGGGGAGUACGGUCGCAAGAUU
rnacentral:rRNA from 1 species